CUCUGUGUCUGUGUGUGUCUGGGUGCUGAAGGAUACUCUGUGCAUGUGUGUGUGUCUGGGUGCUGAAGGAUACUCUGUGCCUGUGUGUGUGUCUGGGUGCUGAAGGAUAUUCUGUGUCUGUGUGUGUGUCUGGGUGCUGAAGGAUACUCUGUGUCUGUGUGUGUCUGGGUGCUGAAGGAUACUCUGUGUCUGUGUGUGUGUCUGGGUGCUGAAGGAUACUCUGUGUCUGUGUGUGUCUGGGUGCUGAAGGAUACUCUGUGUCUGUGUGUGUGCCUGGGUGCUGAAGGAUACUCUGUGUCUGUGUGUGUGUCUGGGUGCUGAAGGAUAUUCUGUGUCUGUGUGUGUGUCUGGGUGCUGAAGGAUACUCUGUGUCUGUGUGUGUCUGGGUGCUGAAGGAUACUCUGUGCCUGUGUGUGUGUCUGGGUGCUGAAGGAUACUCUGUGCCUGUGUGUGUGUCUAGGUGCUGAAGGAUACUCUGUGUCUGUGUGUGUGUCUGGGUGCUGAAGGAUACUCUGUGUCUGUGUGUGUGCCUGGGUGCUGAAGGAUACUCUGUGUCUGUGUGUGUGUCUGGGUGCUGAAGGAUACUCUGUGUCUGUGUGUGUCUGGGUGCUGAAGGAUACUCUGUGUCUGUGUGUGUGCCUGGGUGCUGAAGGAUACUCUGUGCCUGUGU